GCCAGUGUGGCAUAGUGGUUGAAGCACUGGAAUUUGACUCUGGAGACCAGGAUUCAAAUCCCUACUCAGUCA